AACGAACGCUGGCGGCAUGCCUAACACAUGCGAGUCGAACGAGACCUUCGGGUCUAGUGGCGCACGGGUGCGUAACGCGUGGGAAUCUGCCCUUGGGUUCGGAAUAACAGUUGGAAACGACUGCUAAUACCGGAUGAUGACGUAAGUCCAAAGAUUUAUCGCCCAAGGAUGAGCCCGCGUAGGAUUAGCUAGUUGGUGAGGUAAAGGCUCACCAAGGCGACGAUCCUUAGCUGGUCUGAGAGGAUGAUCAGCCACACUGGGACUGAGACACGGCCCAGACUCCUACGGGAGGCAGCAGUGGGGAAUAUUGGACAAUGGGCGAAAGCCUGAUCCAGCAAUGCCGCGUGAGUGAUGAAGGCCUUAGGGUUGUAAAGCUCUUUUACCCGGGAUGAUAAUGACAGUACCGGGAGAAUAAGCUCCGGCUAACUCCGU
rnacentral:rRNA from 1 species